GACCACUCCGGUGGUUUAGGGAUUAAAGAGUCCGCCUCGGAUGUGGGAGGUCGCGGGUUCGAACCCCGGUCGAGUUA